rnacentral:rRNA from 1 species
CAGUCGCCGCGGUAAUACGGAGGGGGCUAGCGUUGUUCGGAAUUACUGGGCGUAAAGCGCACGUAGGCGGCUUGGUAAGUUAGAGGUGAAAGCCCGGAGCUCAACUCCGGAAUUGCCUUUAAGACUGCCGAGCUAGUAGGUGAGAGAGGUAAGUGGAAUUCCGAGUGUAGAGGUGAAAUUCGUAGAUAUUCGGAAGAACACCAGUGGCGAAGGCGGCUUACUGGCUCAUUCUAGACGCUGAGGUGCGAAAGCGUGGGGAGCAAACAGGAUUAGAUACCCCCGUAGUCCCUGUCUCUUAUAU